AACGAACGCUGGCGGCUGGCUUAACACAUGCAAGUCGAGCGCCCCGCAAGGGGAGCGGCAGACGGGUGAGUAACGCGUGGGAAUCUACCCAUCUCUACGGAAUAACGCAUGGAAACGUGUGCUAAUACCGUAUACGUCCUUCGGGAGAAAGAUUUAUCGGAGAUGGAUGAGCCCGCGUUGGAUUAGCUAGUUGGUGGGGUAAAGGCCUACCAAGGCGACGAUCCAUAGCUGGUCUGAGAGGAUGAUCAGCCACACUGGGACUGAGACACGGCCCAGACUCCUACGGGAGGCAGCAGUGGAGAAUGUUGGACAAGGGGCGCAAGCCUGAUCCUGCCAUGCCGCGUGAGGGAUGAAGGCCCUAGGGUUGUAAAGCUCUGUCACCGGUGAAGAUAAUGACGGUAACCGGAGAAGAAGCCCCGGCUAACUUCGUGCCAGCAGCCGCCGUAAUAC
rnacentral:rRNA from 1 species